ACACUGAUGGUGAAGUGGUUAUCAUGCUUGCCUUCCAUUCUUUGUGGUAGCAAGCGGCAGGGGUUCGAUUCCCCUUCAGUGUA